rnacentral:rRNA from 1 species
AGGCAGCAGUGGGGAAUAUUGCACAAUGGGCGCAAGCCUGAUCCAGCCAUGCCGCGUGUGUGAAGAAGGUCUUCGGGUUGUAAAGUACUUUCAGCGGGGAGGAAGGCGAUACGGUUAAUAACCUUGUCGAUUGACGUUACCCGCAGAAGAAGCACCGGCUAACUCCGUGCCAGCAGCCGCGGUAA